AUCUACGGCCAUGCCACCCUGAACUCUGAUCUUGUCUGAUCUCGGAAGCUAAGUAGGGUCGGGCCUGGUUAGUACUUAAAUAGGAGACCACCUACGAAUACCAGGUGCUUUAGGCA
ensembl:rRNA 5S_rRNA 5S ribosomal RNA